rnacentral:rRNA from 1 species
CACGUAGGGCGCAAGCGUUGUCCGGAAUUAUUGGGCGUAAAGAGCUCGUAGGCGGUCUGUCACGUCGAAAGUGAAAACUCAGGGCUUAACCCUGAGCCUGCUUCCGAUACGGGCAGACUAGAGGUAUGCAGGGGAGAACGGAAUUCCUGGUGUAGCGGUGAAAUGCGCAGAUAUCAGGAGGAACACCGGUGGCGAAGGCGGUUCUUUGGGCAUUACCUGACGCUGAGGAGCGAAAGUGUGGGGAGCGAACAGG